rnacentral:lncRNA from 1 species
GCUCCGGUCCUCCCGCUCAGCUGGCGGUCUGGGCUGCUCUGGGGCAGCCCUUCGGUCCACUGCUCUGCAUCGCGGGCGCCGGGAAUUUUCCGAGUCCGAGCGGGUUGCUGCUUUUGCUCAGAGGACAUCCAUGACCCUAAUGGUCUUUUUGUUCAAGAUAAAGUGAUUUUUUGCCUUUGUUGAUUAACUGGACAAAUUCAGGUACUGAGGCCGGGCGCGGUGGCUCACGCCUGUAAUCCCAGCACUUUGGGAGGCCGAGGCGGGCGGAUCACGAGGUCAGGAGAUCGAGACCAUCCCGGCUAAAACGGUGAAACCCCGUCUCUACUAAAAAUACAAAAAAUUAGCCGGGCGUAGUGGCGGGCGCCUGUAGUCCCAGCUACUUAGGAGGCUGAGGCAGGAGAAUGGCGUGAACCCAGGAGGCAGAGCUUGCAGUGAGCCGAGAUCCUGCCACUGCACUCCAGCCUGGGCGACAGAGCGAGACUCCGUCUCAAAAAAA